rnacentral:rRNA from 1 species
GACGAACGCUGGCGGCGUGCUUUAGACAUGCAAGUCGAACGAGAUCUUCGGAUCUAGUGGCGAACGGCGGAGUAAUACAUAAACAACGUGCCCUGAAGACUGGGAUAUACGGUCGAAAGGCCGAGCAAUACCGGAUGUGGCCGAGACUAGGCAUCUAGACUCGAUUAAAUGGUUUUCGCUUCAGGAGCGGUUUAUGACUCAUCAGCUAGUUGGUAGGGUAAUGGCCUACCAAGGCUACGACGGGUAGGGGUCUGAGAGGAUGAUCCCCCCGAGUGGGACGUGAGACACGGCCCACACACCUACGGGUGGCAGCAGUUUGGAAUCUUGCCCAAUGGGGGAAACCCUGAGGCAGCGACGCCGCGUGGAGGAUGAAGGGAUUUAGGUCUGUAAACUCCUUUUGCCAGGAAAGACUUAGGACGGUACCUGGCG